AGUGAACGCUGGCGGUAGGCCUAACACAUGCAAGUCAAACGGCAGCACAGUAAGAGCUUGCUCUUACGGGUGGCGAGUGGCGGACAGGUGAGGAAUACAUCGGAAUCUACUUUUUCGUGGGGGAUAACGUAGGGAAACUUACGCUAAUACCGCAUACGACCUACGGGUGAAAGCAGGGGAUCUUCGGACCUUGCGCGAUUGAAUGAGCCGAUGUCGGAUUAGCUAGUUGGCGGGGUAAAGGCCCACCAAGGCGACGAUCCGUAGCUGGUCUGAGAGGAUGAUCAGCCACACUGGAACUGAGACACGGUCCAGACUCCUACGGGAGGCAGCAGUGGGGAAUAUUGGACAAUGGGCGCAAGCCUGAUCCAGCCAUACCGCGUGGGUGAAGAAGGCCUUCGGGUUGUAAAGCCCUUUUGUUGGGAAAGAAAAGCAGCAGGUUAAUACCCCGCUGUUCUGACGGUACCCAAAGAAUAAGCACCGGCUAACUUCGUG
rnacentral:rRNA from 1 species